rnacentral:rRNA from 1 species
GAUGAACGCUGGCGGCGUGCCUAAUACAUGCAAGUCGAGCGAACAGACGAGGAGCUUGCUUCUCUGACGUUAGCGGCGGACGGGUGAGUAACACGUGGAUAACCUACCUAUAAGACUGGGAUAACUUCGGGAAACCGGAGCUAAUACCGGAUAAUAUAUUGAACCGCAUGGUUCAAUAGUGAAAGACGGUUUUGCUGUCACUUAUAGAUGGAUCCGCGCCGCAUUAGCUAGUUGGUAAGGUAACGGCUUACCAAGGCAACGAUGCGUAGCCGACCUGAGAGGGUGAUCGGCCACACUGGAACUGAGACACGGUCCAGACUCCUACGGGAGGCAGCAGUAGGGAAUCUUCCGCAAUGGGCGAAAGCCUGACGGAGCAACGCCGCGUGAGUGAUGAAGGUCUUCGGAUCGUAAAACUCUGUUAUUAGGGAAGAACAAAUGCGUAAGUAACUAUGCACGUCUUGACGGUACCUAAUCAGAAAGCCACGGCUAACUACGUG